ensembl:lncRNA UCA1-AS1 UCA1 antisense RNA 1
ACUUCUUUGUGGUUUUUCGGCUGCUCCAGACUUCUUGGCUCCUGCAGGCCACCUGGACGGAUAUGUGCAGGUCACAGGGGUUACAAUGGCUAAGCUUCAGCUCACAGGCCUGACAUUUUUGUCUUUUUAUUUAUAAAAUAUGAAGUUGUAGGAAAAGAUUAAAAAAAAGUAGUGAGAACUUGUGACGGUGAAUAACUCUUCUCUUUCCUGGUACCUGGACUUCAGAGAUUAAUACAAAACCCUGUGGGUCAGGACUUGGCAACACCAAGAAGCAUUCAAAUAUAAUGAUUUAUUCAACUGUGUAUUGUCAUGGAAAUAAUAAUUAAAUGGCACAUCUUUGUUGUCUGAAAGGGAU